rnacentral:rRNA from 1 species
AACGAACGCUGGCGGCAUGCCUAACACAUGCAAGUCGAACGAGACCUUCGGGUCUAGUGGCGCCCGGGUGCGUAACGCGUGGGAACCUGCCCUUAGGUUCGGCAUAACUCCCCGAAAGGGGUGCUAAUACCGGAUAAUGUCUUCGGACCAAAGAUUUAUCGCCUUUGGAUGGGCCCGCGUUGGAUUAGCUAGUUGGUAGGGUAAAAGCCUACCAAGGCGACGAUCCAUAGCUGGUCUGAGAGGAUGAUCAGCCACACUGGGACUGAGACACGGCCCAGACUCCUACGGGAGGCAGCAGUGGGGAAUAUUGGACAAUGGGCGAAAGCCUGAUCCAGCAAUGCCGCGUGAGUGAUGAAGGCCUUAGGGUUGUAAAGCUCUUUUACCCGGGAUGAUAAUGACAGUACCGGGAGAAUAAGCACCGGCUAACUCCGUG